GAUGAACGCUGGCGGCGUGCCUAAUACAUGCAAGUCGAGCGAAUGGAUUAAGAGCUUGCUCUUAUGAAGUUAGCGGCGGACGGGUGAGUAACACGUGGGUAACCUGCCCUUGACUCUGGGAUAACUGCGGGAAACUGUAGCUAAUACCGGAUACGACCCUCGGCGGCAUCGCCAGGGGGUGGAAAGAAUUUCGGUCAAAGAUGGACUCGCGGCCUAUCAGCUAGUUGGUGAGGUAACGGCUCACCAAGGCGACGACGGGUAGCCGGCCUGAGAGGGUGACCGGCCACACUGGGACUGAGACACGGCACAGACUCCUACGGGAGGCAGCAGUGGGGAAUAUUGCAAAAUGGGCGCAAGCCUGAUGCAGCAACGCCGCGUGAGGGAUGACGGCCUUCGGGUUGUAAACCUCUUUUAGUAGGGAAGAAGCGAAAGUGACGGUACCUGCAGAAAAAGCACCGGCUAACUACGUGCCAGCCGCCGCGGUAA
rnacentral:rRNA from 1 species